UACAGAGGGUGCGAGCGUUAAUCGGAAUUACUGGGCGUAAAGCGUGCGUAGACGGUUAUUUAAGUCGGGUGUGAAAGCCCCGGGCUCAACCUGGGAAUUGCAUUCGAGACUGAAUAGCUAGGGUACGGUAGAGGGAAGUGGAAUUUCCGGUGUAGCGGUGAAAUGCGUAGAUAUCGGAAGGAACAUCAGUGGCGAAGGCGGCAUCCUGGACCAUUACUGACGCUGAGGAGCGAAAGCCAGGGGA
rnacentral:rRNA from 1 species